CUCAGCCAUGUGGUUCCUUCAGCUCUCAGCACAGCCGAGUCCAGGCUGCAGGCUCUCCAUCACAAGCCAACUACAGAGUGACACAUGUUCUCUACACAUGCCGUGACUGAAUAUGUUGUGUUCUGAAAAUAUUUGGGAGUUAAUUUGUGUUUUGUGCCUAGUGCUUCAUGGACCGGUGCUCAUUGCAUCCUUACAGCCAUCUACAAGGGUGUCACCAUUAUUUGUAUUUUAUUAGACUUAGAGAGGUGAAGUGACUUGCUCAAAAUAAUACGGUUAGCAAAUGACUGAACCCCGACCCAACAGGGAGAAUGUGGGAAGAAAUCAACAAAGCUUAUUUAACAGGUAUCUGCCAAGGGUUGGAAAAAAUAAGAUUUAUUGUUGCUCCACUGAGCAGAACACAGCCCAUCAGAGGUUACUGCACCUUCAACGACAUGUGCUUUUGACUGACCCAUCAAAACACUGGUGGCAAGAGCACUAAAUAAGUUGCCUAUCAUACUUAAUCUUUCCAGGAUUCAAAGAGGAGUGUAGAGUGAAAUGACCUAUAAGACCCCUGAGCCUAAAAUAUAAUCUAAUGGACUCAGCUUUAAAGCGCUCAUUGAGAGGAUGGCCAAAAACCAGCCGCCACAGUGCGAAGCACGAUUCCUCCACCAUCCGCAGUCCACUCGCACAAAUACCCUCAGUGAAACACUUCUUUCUCUCCACCCACUUUUGAGUAGGAUGAAAUGGCACAUUCCAUUUUCAAAGUGGGCAGCUUGCACGUAUCAGCAGUGCCAGGAAUUUGGAAAACGAUAACGUGGAACCCACAGUAACUUGCUGGCUGAAUUUACUCACCCAGGUGACCCAGGUCGAUGAGGGCUUCAGAGCCACGGGGAUUUUAAAUGCCGCUUCAAAGCCAACAAGGAGCAGAACCAGUGCUGAUUCGUGUUUAUGAUAAUGACAUUUGAAAGGCUAAAAAUUACAAAGUUGUUUACAGAGAUGGACUUAGAAAAUAAUUGUAUCUAAUGUCUCAUAAACAUAAAAGAAAGUUAUUUUGUAGUAGAUGAUUGAAAAGAAAAAAUCUCCUUUAAAAAGGAAAUAAAUAUACUAGUUUCAGACAGAAACAACUUCAAAGGCAAUCAGAAAAUUCAGUGGAAUUUUAAAGAGGGAAUCUCACUCAAAGAAUUCUCUAAAAUUGCCUAAACUUAAAAGCAUUAUUUUUCUCGAGACAUUUAAUUUAGAUUGCAUACCAAACCCUGUAAUAAACCUCCUGCAAAGAAAUAAUAAUAGACCAUAGGCAUUAUAUAUGUUCACUGUUCACUGCGUGUAAAUACAAUGAUUGACCUUCCAUCAACAGACAAGAGGCAUAACUCCAUGGCAACAGAGAAAUAGAGGUCACAAUCAUAUUUUCCAAGGCAAUUUUUGGCCCUCGGGGGAUUCACUGUUAUACUUGGAGGCCAUGUCACCUGAGAGUCAAUGGGCAACGAUCAAAUUUCACCUUGAGCAGAUUCUUUUGUUUGCUUUUUAGUCACAAAUAGCUUGGCCCUAAGUGGUGGCUCCCAUUCUUGUAAGAUGCGUUUAUUCAUCGUGUAAUCACCAGUUCCCUGUAGUGGGGGCGUGGAUGGAGUGUCAGAGGCUCCUGCUGGUCUUUAGGGUGUCUGGCCUCCAGGAAUCCUAGAGGUAGUAUUUGGAGAGAUUUUUAAAAGCUUUGUUUCUGUGACCAGCAAAACCUGGAUUUGACACUGAGGUCAGCCCGUUUCAGCCAGUGACGUAACCUGUCUUUUUGCCCCAGUAAAUUGGGAACUACAGCACUCGAUGUUAGAGUUGUCGUGAAGAUUAAAGAAGGUGACGACUGGACAACUCCCAGCCCAAUACCUGAAACUGUACCAGCACCCAGUGAGCACUGCUAUUCCUGUGACUGCUGCACAUUUGCCUUAUCUCAGCAGUAUGCCUGUGUCACUUUUUUGGCACUCUUUUCUCAUGGGUACAUUCAGAGAAGAGGAAUGUUUGUUCACUGGUGAAGAGAACAUCCCGUGUACUAUCGUGUAGAAGUUGUAGUAGACGCUGUGGUCUUUCCAACAACAAACAAAGAGGGAGGUAUCCAGAGAGGCUAAUGGAAGAGACAGGCUUUGGGAUUUAUUUGCAGAGAGGUUAGGCAUUCAGACAUGUGGAAAGAGAGAUGAAAGGAAAGUGCACCUGAGGCUGAACAAGUGACUAAAGGAGAAGCCACUGUGCCUGUCGAAAGAACAAUGAAUAAUCCAGAAUUGAUAGAUAAGUAAGACUGGGGAAGGAAGAGAAAGGAAGACACAGCCUCUGAGAGCCGGAUGAAGACACAAAUGGGAUGGAGGCUGCGGCUGUUAAACCAUCAGGACUCAGCGGCUGUUAAACCAUCAGGACUCAGCAAUUAUUUCAUGUGGAGACAAGUGAUGGCAAAGCCAAAAGGCCACGGGUGUUGAGCUGUUGACGAGAAACUGAAAGUGCCAUUGUGUUUAUACAGGAAGCUGCCAUUAGUAGGGAUUUGAAAAAGCAAGAGGAGAGGAUGAGUUUAGUGGGGAGUUCUUACACUUCAGGUGCUAGUGGAUACCACCAAGUCAAUAUUGAGUAGCAGGAAACCAGGGCCUGAUGUUCCGUCAGGCCAUCAGGGCGGAGACAUUGUGGAGAGGAAGUUUUGAGGCUGUGAGAUUAGGAGAGAAGCAUGGAGUGUAGAGCAGGAACUAGGCCUCUCUUUACCCAAAAUCCAAAACCCCACUUAUGCCAGACACACUCAAUACUUUCUGCUGGGAUCCUCAAUUCUCAUAAAGUUUUCAUAAUAAGGCCGGGCGGGGUGGCUUAUGCCUGUAUUCCCAGCACUUUGGGAGGCCGAGGCGGGCGGAUCACCUGAGGUCAGGAG
rnacentral:lncRNA from 1 species